CAAACGGCCCUUUUUAGGGCCACCAUAAAGUACUCAAUCAGCCUUUU
rfam:Trachymyrmex cornetzi contig33996, whole genome shotgun sequence.